rnacentral:rRNA from 1 species
GAUGAACGCCGGCGGUGUGCCUAAUACAUGCAAGUCGUACGCACUGGCCCAACUGAUUGAUGGUGCUUGCACCUGAUUGACGAUGGAUCACCAGUGAGUGGCGGACGGGUGAGUAACACGUAGGUAACCUGCCCCGGAGCGGGGGAUAACAUUUGGAAACAGAUGCUAAUACCGCAUAACAACAAAAACCACAUGGCUUUUGUUUGAAGAUGGCUUUGGCUAUCACUCUGGGAUGGACCUGCGGUGCAUUAGCUAGUUGGUAAGGUAACGGCUUACCAAGGCGAUGAUGCAUAGCCGAGUUGAGAGACUGAUCGGCCACAAAUGGAAACUGAGACACGGUCCAU